rnacentral:rRNA from 1 species
GAGUUUGAUCGUGGCUCAGAUUGAACGCUGGCGGCAUGCCUUACACAUGCAAGUCGAACGGCAGCACAGGAGCUUGCUCCUGGUGGCGAGUGGCGAACGGGUGAGUAAUGCAUCGGAACGUAUCCUGGAGUGGGGGAUAACGUAGCGAAAGUUACGCUAAUACCGCAUAUUCUGUGAGCAGGAAAGCGGGGGACCUUCGGGCCUCGCGCUCUUGGAGCGGCCGAUGUCGGAUUAGCUAGUUGGUGAGGUAAAGGCUCACCAAGGCGACGAUCCGUAGCAGGUCUGAGAGGAUGAUCUGCCACACUGGAACUGAGACACGGUCCAGACUCCUACGGGAGGCAGCAGUGGGAAUUUUGGACAAUGGGGGCAACCCUGAUCCAGCCAUGCCGCGUGAGUGAAGAAGGCCUCGG